AAUAAGGCAUUUGUGUGUUAUUGAAUGUGCAGAGAAUAGAAGUUUUGAAAGCCAAAUGUAUAUGUUUUGCAUCUUCCCAAGAAACACUUUUUUUAGAAGUUACUUCUUGGUUUCUCUUUCUUUCUUCAUUGCUCCUUUCACAAACCCUAACUUUCUAUUUCUCUCCCUCUUUCACAAACCCUACCAUAUCUCUUUCCCAUCCUUCUUCUUUCUAUGACUCUGCCUCUAUUUCUCUCUCUUUUCUCUGUCACCUCAAUCUCUUUUUUCCUCUUCUUCUUUUUUUCUUCAGAUCCAACGCUUCCAUGGAUACACUAUUUUUCGGUGAAAAGUGUGGAAAUCACGAGAAUUAGAAUCGCGGAAGAGGUUGUAUUUGUCUUUGAAAACAUUGAAGGAAUUAAGUCACCAAGCAGAAGUGAAAUUAGAGAAACGGCACCGUCGCCCGACAAACAGGAUUUAGACUGAAUCGAGUUUUAAUGAGACUUUUCCCAAGCGUGACAUUACUAUUGCUGAUGAAAGGUCAGUGGUCUCUAUUUCGAUUUUACAGUGCUUCGUAUUUGUUGUUUUGUGAUACUGACAACUAAAGUAACAAUGUUUGACAUUAGUAAGAAGAAGUAACAAUGUUUGACAUUAGUAAGAAGACAGUUGUUAUGUCUUUGUGGGGUGAUCUUGCAACCAACAUAGGACAAGAGUUGUUGGACAUGGUUGAUAAAUCUUCAGUAGUUGCAAUCAAAUCCGUGAAGGUUGUAUACUUUCAAGAUAUUGAAAUGUUAAACUGUGGUGAAAAAUAUGCGUGGAUUGCAAAAAACGAAGCAAGUUUCAUGGGCUUCGGAUUUGAAUCUUUGUCAGGUUGACAAACACAAUGAUGCGGGUCAAUCCAUCUUGAUUGAGCCUAAUUCUUCUUCUGUUUCCGCUCCGAAAGCUUCCAACUGCACUAAAAGUGUCAAAAGAACCAAACUUUUACAGCAGCUAAAAAAACAAGGCUUUUACUUAUUUUAAUUGAAGGAUAAUAUAGGAAUAACUUGGUUAAAUAAGAUGAAAUUAGUAGAGAUUUGAAUAUGCUGAUGUAUUGUAAUGUGAUAAGGUUCUUCAGUUUUAUGCGUUACUCUCUGUUGUUUCAGCUUGGAUAAGACACACUGUACUUGCACUACGGU